GACACGGUGGUGUAGUGGUUAGCACGCUUGCCUCGCAUCCAUGAGGUCCGCGGUUCGAUUCCCACCUCCGUUG